UACGUAGGGUGCGAGCGUUGUCCGGAAUUAUUGGGCGUAAAGGGCUCGUAGGCGGUUUGUCGCGUCGGGAGUGAAAUCCACUGGCUUAACUGGUGGCUUGCUUUCGAUACGGGCAGACUAGAGGUAUGCAGGGGAGAACGGAAUUCCUGGUGUAGCGGUGAAAUGCGCAGAUAUCAGGAGGAACACCGGUGGCGAAGGCGGUUCUCUAGGCAUGAUCUGACGCUGAGGAGCGAAAGUGUGGGGAGCGAACAGG
rnacentral:rRNA from 1 species